AUCAUUUGUGAUGAAACUUAGGGAAAUUUCAAAGACAAAAACUGAUAGUGAGCUGUAGUGACAAGUUCAGAAAGUCAGAGUUGGUCUGGGUUUCUCUGUUUGCUGGGGUCUGGGUUGGGAGGAGGAGAAAGUUGCAUUAGGUGGGGUCUGUAUCAGUGUGUGAGAGGGGUUGUGCAUCAUCCCUAGUGACACAUGAGGGCUGUUGUUCUGUCACUCCCAAGGUGAAUGUGGGCUGAGUUCCACGGUGUGCUGAUGGGGGCACUAAUAAGGUCCAAGUGUUAUCUGUGGGUCAGAAAAGAAUUUGUGAAACCUCAAAAAUGGGUGUUGUGCUUGAGCCUCCAGGUAAGUUUCUGUGUACCUCCUAGUGCCAGGUACGAGCUUCUUCAUCGUGCCAGCUUCAAAAACAUUGGAACCUCAGGGAGAAAGGGGCAUGUGCUUCCAGGCUGGAUUUCAGCUGGGACACAGCGUCUCAUCUGCUCACAGAGUGGCUCUGCUGUGUCCUGUGGGGACACAGCAUCUCAUCUGCUCACAGAGGGGCUCUGCUGUGACCUGUGGGGACACAGCUUCUCAUCUGCUCACAGAGGGGCUCUGCUGUGUCCUGUCUCUGCGUACACACGUGGUGUGUACAUUCUGGUUUGGGAUUAGGUGUGUGCCCUCAGUUCCUGUACAGCUGGUGUGCCUCAGAGUUAAACACUUUUUAUCAUGAAAUACAGGUAAUUGGAUGGCUUCAACACUGAGCAGACAGCUGUGUAUUUAAAUGUGACCUUAUACCCAGUCAGUCUCAUAACCUGCAUUUUGAAUAUGGUAUUUAGGUAAAUGCUGCGCUGAGCCUGAGGAAUUGUUAAAACUGACACCACAAGGGCAUGCUAAUGCAAUUAGAUGACUUGCAGUGUUGAGACUUGGCCUUUGUUUGGGCUCAGUUGCAGUUUAACCAGAUGCAAAAAUAUGUAGACAGUAACUUGUACACUGCUGAAACAAGGCUAGCAGGGCAAAGGUGAGAUCCACGUGUCAGAGGUGGUGCUACAGACAGCUGCCACAGGAUCUGCCAGUGACACCUCAUAUUUCCAGCUGAGAGAGGACUGGGAGGAGGCUUCAAAGCAGUGAGUACCGUCUGGACAUGUCUGUGAGAACUUGCGAUCUGUUGUUUGGGGUGGGGGGGAUGUUAUUACUGGAAGGUUGUUCACUGUCUGUGUGUUGAGGUUAUCUUGACCCAGGAGGAGAGGCUCCAAACGCCUGAUCUGUACCAUGCUCAUGCUGCCACGGCGAAUCUGCUGCUUUGCCCUUUUGCUGCUUGGAGGUGCUACGUAGAUGUCAAGUCUCAUUCAGCAAAUGAUGCAAGGAUUUGGAAAGCAGAAUAAUGAGUAGAGACGGUGUCCUGCCAGUAAUUGCUGGAAGCAGAGAAGGGAGCUGUAGGAUAUUGGCGUGUGGAGAAGCACAGAGAUAUUCCCACUCUGGCUGACAGUUUCUAAUAAAGAUAUUUUUAUUGUAAUUGAAAAUUAUCUCAUGAUUCCAUUUCCUGUUCCAAUCAGCAUUGUUUUAGCCUCAUUUCAAGCGUGAUUCUGCUGAAAAACACUCUGUCCAAUGGCCAGGGGUAUCUAUUGGUAU